rnacentral:lncRNA from 1 species
ACAGGGUGCCGCUCGAGGGGGCGUGCACGCAUCGGCGUCCCCAGGAGCGUGGCAUGAGCAUGUUGGAGGGUGCUCAGCCUCGGUACAAUCGUUCUAGACUACAGGGAUAAUCAGUGCUAAUCCUUGAGCUCCAGCUUCACUACUCACUACAGGGAUAAUUCACACAAUGCUUUCCCUGUAAGAUCUUUAGAACAUGCUAUUUUUUUGCUUCUUUGUGAAGCAUGUCAUCAUAGCAAUUUCCCUGUAGUGAGUAAUGACAUUGCUCUGCUUUGUUCAGGCAGGCGCAAGAAAUGGAUAAAUGUGAUGAAGCCCUUGGACUGCUGAAUUUGCACUGGAGUCUGUCCUAAACUAUUCAGGAGCUUACCAACAACUGUCAUGCAUUCUUGGUCAUGAAUGCAGCCAGGCAGGUAAAUCUCCAACAAGCUGCUGCCUACUUGUUUUUCUAGUGGAAUCUCCACAUUCACAGUUAGUUAAAUGACCAAGGUUUUUCAAAUACUUUGCAAGUUUACAAACUAGGAUGACUGCCAUUACAUAGGAUCGGUGUUCGUUUCACACGGUUUCACUUUUCUCUCCCGAAUACACACCUAAGUGCGCAUAGAAGGAAAUGCCUAGGUGAGCCGAACUUACAGCCUGCAAUAAAAGCAAAACAGCCAGAAAGGAGAAAGAGAAGAACGCAAACAAACUGUGCAGCAAACAAAUAGUUUCACUUCUGUUCUUUCCUUAUAAAACUGUCUAGCAUUUGUAAAGAUUAUCUUAAAGGAAGGUAGAAUAACUCCUUUAGAUAAUAACCUAACUAUGUAUAAAGGGAAGGUAUGUUUUCCCUUUCUUACUAUUCUACCAUCCGAUGAUUAGUACUUCAUGCGUUGUUAAUAAAUUGAACCAUGAUCAUGUUAGGGCAAUUAAAGGUCAGUUCACCUAGAGAUAUGGUUGGACUAGUAUUAGUUCCUUUCGUUCUUCCAACUGCCCUGAGCUUAUGCAAUCUUUUUCUUCCUCACAAUGCUAGAUUUAACAACCUCCAAUCUAGGGAAAAUAACAAUAGACAGACACAGAUACAACACUUCUGCCUGUGCAGGGGGUUAACUGUCCUACGGGCAAGAAGCAUCAACCAGAAGCCCAAGCAUAAAAAAGGUAAACUAGAAUAUUGUUAGAGAAAUUCCAUCCGGUACCACUAAUACCGCCACUAACUUCGUCCCUUUCUGGGAAUUUUUGGUUUACUGGCCUUCAAACAUGCUUCGGCUGACAAACAGCUUCAUCCUGCCCCCUGCCCUAAGUUGCCAUUUUUUGCAGCCUACUUCUAUCCCUGCCAAAUAUUGUAGGAGCUGAAUUACUUUGGAAUCUAGAUAUACAUCUAAUCGAUUGCGCAGUUUCUUCCCAUCAAAUGGUGAGUGCUUGCGAAUAGGUAAUGUGUAUUAUGUUAUCCCCUAGGAGGCUAGUACUAGGAUUUUCAAAUGACCCCAACUUGUGUGCAAGGUCUGUAAUAUGUAUAGCCCAGAGACAAAUUUACGGUACUGUCCAAGUGUUAUUUCAAAAGGUUGGAAUUGGAUUAGUUAUACAUGACAAAUAACUGGAACACACUGUUGCUCUCACAUCAUGCUAAAUAGUAGCGCUACUGCUAAAUAGCUAUACACAUUAAUGAUAUAAUAACUCAUCAUGAUCAUAAUAACAACUCAUCAUCAUCAUAAUAAUAAUAACAACUCCUCCUCCUCCUCCUCCUCAUAGUCAUAUAAGAACUCAUCAUCAUCAUCAUCUAUGAGUCAUAUAACAACUCAUCAUUCUAAGUUUCUAGCACAUUCUAGCACAUAACUCAUCAUCAUCAUAAUAAUAACAACUCCUCAUCCUCAUAGUCAUAACCAACACUAGCUAAUUGUUUAUAUCACAUGAUGAGUACUACCGAGGACCUACACCUCUCUCUUUGCUAAAAUAGCAUAAAACAGGUAAACCGGUCCAUCUCCAUAAUGGAGAAUGGAGAUCCACCUGUCUCCAACUUGUGGCUUGCGCACAUUCAUGUUGUCUCCAAUUGGUUGCUUGCGCGCAUUCAUUACUUUCCUCCAUUCUUUGAUAUUGAGUCUUUCAUCUUUUAAAGAAAUCGAGUAUGCCAUGUGGUAAGCUGUCGGCGGAGUUGGUCGUAAGCUAACCAUAUGCAUAUGACCUUCGGUAAGCAUCAUGUCAGGCACAACCUCCUUCGGGAGUUUCUAUUGAAGAACAUAAUAGUAACAUAUAGUUAGUAAUGUAGUUUACUUAAGAAGAAUGUAUGCAACCAUAGUUUAUCAUGCAACUCGUGGACUAGUGGCACGUAUCCACUAAAAUUUGGGUUAAUUAAAUAAUUGGUCUUAAAAGUCUCAACAUCAUUUAUAAAUGAGACAAGAGAUCCUUUCUCCUAACAAUUUAGCUCGGAGCCAUAGCUAUAGUACGUCUUGUCUACAACCUUCCGAGUAUUUCUUGAAGAUAAGAAAUAAGAUGACAAUAUAAAUAAACAAGUUUAGUAGGGAUGAACACCAAAUAUUUUUAAAUAAAUAAUAUUAAUUACUUAACAAAUUUCUUUGACAAACUCACAUAGAGGCGGAACUGGAGGCAUAUUCACAUCCACCCAAAUGUCGAUAUUAUUUUCAAUAUCAUCUUCAGGACGAAUAUCGAAGGUUAUUUGCAUAUUCUCCUCAAAUCCAUAGGCCUUGCAGAGAGCUCCCCAAUUAGAGCAACCAAAAUAUGAGUGAUUAAGUGCAUUGUAGAGUUUAACCCGAAAAGCAUAAUCAUGUUUAGUCCUGAGAUGAGCUCUCCUCGUCUCCAUAUUCUCACUCUCUUGGAAACCGAGCUUCUCCAAGACAAAUAGUCUUGCAUGGCAGGGGAUGCACUAGUUGAAUUGAAAAAACGGAAAUUACACGUUGAAGCAAAGAAGUACAAGUCAUGCUUAAUUGCACAUUCAUUCAAAGAAGCACAAGUCAAUACCUACCGUAAAAACAUCAAAGGUCUCGUCCAGCUUGAUGGUGAAAUACCUAUCGUUUUCCAGAUGAUACAUGUCGCACAUACCCCGGUCGUCGCCGCAGUAAUCACACUCAGGUAUCCUACCAUCGUCAGACAUUUCCUGUGUUCAUAAUUCAAAGAUUAUAAAUCGAUGGCAAUUACCAAAAACUCAGGAAAUGAUCUGUGUGUUGAGUUCCUGGUAAUUGCCGUUGAUUUUUAAUCUUUAAAUUAUGAACACAGGAAAUGUCUGACGGCGAUAGGAUAUCUGAGUGCGAUUAUUGCACCGAUGACGGGGGUAUGUGCGGCAGGCCUCAUCUAGAUAACGGUGCUUCACCCUCACGCUGAAGGAGACCUUCGAACAUUUUACGGUAUGCAAUGACGGAAAGUAUUUUUUCAUAAUUAAACAUGACUAGUGCUUUUUGCUUUAACGUGUAAUUUUUGUUUUGUACAAUUUGACUAGUGCAUCCCCUGUUAUGCAAGAUUGUAUGUCUUAGAGAAGCUUGGUUUCGAAGAUAGGGAGAGUAUGGAGACGAAUAAAGCUCACCUAAAGAUGAAACAUGGUUUCAUUUUUGCGGUUAAGCUCUACAAUGCAGUAAAUCACUCAAAUUUUGGUUGUCGAAAUUGGAGAGGACUAUGCAAGGCCUAUGGAUUUCAGGAGGAUAUGAAAAUAACCUUCGAUAUUGGUCCUCAAGAUGAUCCUAAAGAUAAUAUCGACAUUUCGGUGGAUGUGGACAUGAUUCCAGUUCUACCUCUAUGUGAGUUUGUCAAACAAAUAUGUAACUAAUUUAUAUUGUUUAUUUAAAAAUAGUUGGUAUUCAUCCCUACUAAACUUGUUUAUUUAUAAUUUGAUAGCUUAUUUCUUUUCUCCAAGAAAUACACGAAAGAAAGGUUGUAGACAAGUCAUACUGCAGUUAUGGCUCGGAGCUAACUUGGAAGGAGAAAAAUUCCGUUGUCUCAUUUAUUAAUGAUGUUGAGACUUUUAAGACCAAAUAUGAAAUUAGCCAAAAUUGUAGUGGAUAUGUGCCGCUAGUCCACGAGUUGAGUGAUGGUAGCAUCAGUGCAAAUAGCAUGGUAAGAUUUUAUUGACUAUCGAUGGAUACAUUCUUCUUAAGUAAACUACAUUGCUAACUAUGUUACUAUUAUGUUCUUCAACAAAAACUCCCGAAGGAGAUUGUGCCUGACCUGAUGUAUACCGAAGGUCAGAUGAGUAUGUUUAGCUUAUGGCCAAAUUAGCCGGUGGCUUUCCACAGUGCAUACUCGAUUUCUCUAAAAGAUGAAAGCCUCAAAAUCAAAGGAAGAAUGCGCACAGGCAACCAAUUGGAGAACAUGAAUGUGCGCAAGCCACAAGUUGGAGACUGGCGGAUCUCUAUUGUCCAUUUUGGACAUGGAGGGGUUUACCUGUUUUAUGAUAUUUUACCUAGGAGAGAGGAGUAGGUCCUACGUAGUACUUGUCAUGUGCUAGAAUGAUGAUGAGUUAUUUACCUAGGAUGACUACCCUUAGCUAGGUUGGUUAACUUGUCAUGUGCUAUAUUGAUGGUGAGUUAUUAUAUGACUACGCAUGAUGAUCGAGUUGUUAUAUGACUACGAUGAUGAUGACGAGGCCGUACUACUUGUAAUGUGCUAGAAUGAUGAUGAGUUAUUAUAUAUAUGACUACGGAUGAUGAGUUGUUAUAUCAUUGGGGUGUAAGAAACAUGGAUCCAUCCACUUUAAUCUAAUCCGUGUUUCCUCCACAAUCUCUUCAUUGCUACGGUAUAAAAAUUGUAUAACUGUGUAUAAAUAAAAGUAUAAAUAUAAAGAAAUGAAUACUCACUAAUAAUAGUGGCGUGGGGCAAAAACAGGCGUUACUGCUAUUUAGCAGUAGCGUUAGCAAUAGCGCGGGUCCAAUCCCACGCAGCAGUAGCGUGGGGUCAGACCCGCGCUACUGUAGAUGGAACUGGUGCCAUGGGUCUUGGAGGGCGCGCGAGCGCGACUUCGGUGGUUCUUGCUCGCGCGGCAGGAUGGCGUGGACGCGGUAGAUCGGGCGCGACAGGUGUUGUGCGGGCGCGCGGGAUGGCUAGGCCGUCGCAGAUCUGGCGCGAGGGCUGUUUCGCGGGCGGGGGUGUGCUGUGGCUCGGGCGUGGCCGGGCAGGGUGCCUCUAUGGAGCGCAGGAGGUCAGGGGCGUGGUUCAUCUGCGGGUGAGCCGCAAGGUGGUGCGGGGCAAUGCAGGAGGCAUGGCGCGUGGUGGAGAGGCUCGGGCGUGCGGCGCUCGGGCGGCGGCUUAGCCGUGAGGGGGCGCGGCUGGUGCGUGCCUACGUGAUUUGAUGCUGCGAGUAAGCCUUGGUGAUGGUGGGUCGGGAGCCUGGGUUGGCGAGGAAGAGCACCUUUGGUUGCGAGUGAUGUAGAUUCGGUCUCCGGUGGCUGCGAUGGCGUGCAUGGGGCGCGUCGGUGGUUCUGUUGCUUGGCUAUGGCUCGGAACCAUGGUGGCUCUUGGCUUCGGGCAGCGCUCCUCUAUUCCCGUGCUGCGUCCGAAAGACCGUUGAUGGAUCUAGGGACUCGUUCUGGAGGUUGGCCGUCGGUGGUCUCCGCGAGGUGCGGCUGGCUACGGCGGAUCUCAGAGCUUCUUUGUUGAUGGGCAGCUCUGAUUGUGGUGGUGUUUGGUGGGCUUCCCGGCGCUGGUGCAGGAUGAUGUACGACUGAGGUGGUGUGGGAGAUUGGUUGAACGCCCUAUCUUGGCUUUGUGCUGUGACCAGCGAUGGUGGCGGCUGCGGCCGUCGUUGACCUUCUUGGAGGCAUCAUUGCUUUGCUGCCGCACCUCUCCCGCGUGGAUCCGGCCAUCUCGGCCUCUCUGGGGGAAACCUUUGAUCUGUUAUCGGACGAUGGCGGCGCCUUGGUGUCGUAUUCCCUCUCGGGGGCUUCGUCUUGGGAGCUCAAUAUCGGCAAGCGAGACCGGUGGAUUGCGGCGGUUGUGGCGACCAGGUUUUUGUGGCAACGAUGAUGAUAGGUCCAAUGUCGGCAACGCGGCAAUGGUUGAGGUAGUCGGCUCUUCUCCGGCAUGUCCACGGGUUUGCCUCGGUUUGUUUGUUGCUGUGAAGUCGAAGCUGCUGCGGCAGGCCCUGUGGUAUACGAUGACUGGCUGCAGGUGAACCGUUCGGCGAUCUUCCGUGGUGCCAGCCAUGCCUGGUUUUGUCCUUCGUAGUUCUCCGUCAAAGUUGGAGCUGUGCUAUCUGGUCGCAGGUGGCUGAGUUCUGGCGUGGAUCUUCAUGCAUCUUCACGGGGAUUCUGCAGUAUGUGUCGAGUCGACGAUCGCCUAUGGCGAAGUCAGAGUCCUUUGCUCAGGAUUUAGGGAUGGCGAUGUCGCCUCUACGGGAGGAGUGAUGACGAUGACGCCUAUGUGCUGUCUCGACGAGGCCAUCACUGGAGUGGUGUGCAUGGGGUAUCUUGUGUGUGCCGCUCAACGGUUGUGAUAGUUUUCGCCCGGUAUGAUCAAUUGGGCAAUCUGGUUUUCACUCGGUUUUCCCUAAUUAACUAAGCAACUAUUUUCUUCUUAACGAAUGCAGGAUAACUGCCAUUUCAAAAAAAAAUGAAGGCCACAUAACAUGGCCGGGAACAAAAUAUUUUUGUCAGAAUCAGAAACACACUGCCUCCUUGCCUCAAUCCUCGUUUGUGUUCUCCAGUGUGUAACCUACAAACUGUGCUUUUAUCACAACAGUCAAAUGUAAAAUUCCACAUGAACUUUGUACUUAUUUGAACCAGAUAAUUUGCCUUGUUGAAAGUGUAUAUUAGGGUUUGAUAAAUUCAUCCGUUCUCAUGACUGCAAACUGUCGAGCACCAUAUAGGGAGGAUAAAUCAUCAACAGUUGAUGUUUUAGACUUGUAGCUGCAAGAGCAAGCACGGACAAUCUUCAGGCAUCCCAAUGUUGGGUGUGUGCUUUCCUGUUGCUAACUUGGCUCUGCUGCUGGUGAAGCCCAAGACGGCAUUCCGCAUGUCAGCUACUGAAGCACGGACAAUCUUCAGGCAUCCCAAUGUUGGGUGUGUGCUUUCCUGUUGCUAACUUGGCUCUGCUGCUGGUGAAGCCCAAGGCGGCAUUCCGCAUGUCAGCUACUGAUAAUAGCCUGUUGCUGCAAGUGUUUGGUUGUUUUGUAGUAUUUUGCUGGCAUUGGGUCUCUGUACUUUCUCCGUUUCCUUGCAUGAAAUUGGGGGUUGUCUACCGCCUGAACCACAGUACUCAAAACAGUAGCUCUACUUAGCUAGCACAUUUGAUGAUUCUAUGCUGCGCUGUGUGUUUACUUAUUUCUUCACUGCAAUACAUUUGAUGAUUCUAUGCUGUGCUGUGUGUUUACUUAUUUCUUCACUGCAAUUAACUAUCAUGUGUUUGAGAAUCUACCUCAUUAACCGAAUUUGGUUUAUGCAGACUCCCCGACGGUGACACGGGAGAUUCAGUCGACCAUUUUUGUUCUAGGCUUGCAUUGUGUGAUUUUUCGGAAGCAUAUGCUCAAGCUGCAACAGUAUUGUGACUGCAGAAUUCAGCUAAAUUUCCGUUUUUUAUAGAGUACCGACCAGUCAAAUAUCAGUCCUGUUCACAUCACCUUGAUGCAAGCACAUCAUUGGAUCUCAGGUUUGCAUUGGUAAAAUUUGUAAGUUGUAGUCCUAGUAUGCAAGGCUGUUAGGUGCAUGGGUGUCAGGGGUGCACUGUCAAGCUCUUUUAUAUCUGAAAGGGACCACUGAGCAAACGGUACUACCAUCUUUACACAUUACUACUGUGCAGUAACUUGCACCACUAGAUGCGAAACCCACCACAGGAUAGGAUAUAUCUCACAUAAAUCCAACGGUUAUGCUUCCCCUCUGCCUCUCCUAUACCCCUCCAUGGCGUUGGUCGGUGGCAUCCAUUUCCGAAAACAAAGCUAUGUCCAACCGUUGCUUCUGUGCUUCAGUAUGCAGGUGUUUCAGGAGAACAUAAACACGCAGCGCAGGAAUCAAGGCACACAACACGGUGAUAAGGGAUCACAAUGAGAUGAAAUACUUUUGUCACAACUGUCAAAUGUAAAAUUCCACAUGGACUUUAUUCUUUUUCGAAUCAGUGUCAGUUGCAUUUGUCGUAUGAAGUAUAUGUUACGGUCUGAUAAAUUUAUCCGUUCUCAUGACUGUAAACUGUCGAGCACCAUGUUAGGAGGGUAAAUCACGAACAGUUGAUGUUUUACACCUAUAACUUCAAGAGCAAGCACAAGCAGUCUUCAGGCCAUCCCAAGAUUGGGUCUGCGCUUUUCUAUCGCUAACCUGGCUCUGUUGUUUGUUAAGUCCAGGACGACAUUUCACAUGUAUGCUACUGAUAAUAGCCUGUUGCUGCAAGUGUUUGGUUGUUUUCUACUCCCUCCUUUCCAUAAUUAUGGAACAGAGGGAGCAGUAUUUUGUUAGCAUUGGAUCUCUGCACUUUCUCGGUUUCCUUACAUGAAAUCAGCGGUCGUCUACCUUCUGAACUGAAAGACAAACAAUUUUACUUAGCCUAGCAUAUUUGAUGAUUUACUGUUUGUUUACUUAUUUCUUCACUGCAAUUAACCACUAUGCAUUUGAGCAUUUGAUUCGUUAACUGAAUCUGAUUUCACGCAGACUUCAUGACUUUGACUUGCGAGAUUUGGUCCAACAUUGUGUUACACGCUUACAUUGGUGCUUUUCUGGAGUAACGAUCAAGCUGCAACAGUUUUGUGACUGCAGAAUCCAGCAGGGUAAAUCUUCGUUCCGUUUUGAUAAUCGACCGGUCACAUUGAUGCAAUCUUCUUGGUAUACCUAAUCAUCAUUGGAACUUAUUAGGUUUGCACUGGUAAAAUUAGCAAGUUGUAACUCUAGUAUGCAAGGUUGUUAGGUGCAUGAGGUUCAGAGGGUGUACUGUCAAAUUUCUUUUAUAUCUGAAAAGGACAUGUGAGCAAAUGGUGGAAGUACUUGUGUAGGGCUAUAACCCACAGAGCACCAUCUUUACACAUCACUACUGCACAGUAGUAAUUUGCACCACUAAAUGCCAAACCCCAUACAGUAACUCACAGAAAAGCUAAUGCCUGUGCUUCCCCUCUCUGUCUCUCCUCCACGCCUCCACCACUGUUUCUGCUUGCUGAUGUUGGAGAAGAUGAUCAGGGUUGUUGGUGUCGGUUGGUGGCAUCCAUUUCUGCUGCCUUUUUUUUUUUGUUCAGCCACUUGGCAUUGUGAUCUCCACAGCUGCUCUACAGAUUCCAGAGCUUGCCUGCACCAUUGUCUUCAUUAUGGGUGAGGGUGACAUCCACUUCUGAAACCAAAGCUCUUUCUAGCCUUGCAGGGUGUCUGAGGAGAAGAUAAACACGCUACACAGAAAUCAAUACACAAAGCAUGGUGAUCGGGGAUCACGAUCACGAUGAGAUGAGAUGAAAUACAGGAGGCAGCCUACUAGCUCAGAUUCCACGGUGAGCCAAGGUUCCAUUCCAUCAAUCCCAUGUACGUACUCCCUCUGCAAACUAAUAUAAGAUCAUUUAGAUCGCUACUUUAGUGAUCUAAACGAUCUUAUAUUAGUUUACAGAGGGAGUACUACUUUAUUUACUUAAGUCCAGCUUCAGACAAACCCCCAAGCUUGCUGUCUGUGUGGUGAGCAAGCUGUUUCUUUUCUCACACAAACCCCGGGACUAACAGCAGGUUGACAGAUCUAUUUGUAGCCUCUUAGUAGGUUUUUGCUAUAUGUCAUGACUCAUGACCUAAUCUUUGUUCGCAAUUUGAUGCCUGUCUGCCUGCAGUCAUGAAUUUCUUCAGCAAUCCUCAAAUGAGCUCAUGGUCUGCGUGUGUGCUACAGUGAAAUUAUAUGAUUCAGCAUGUGUAUCAACUCGGACACUUGGUAAACAGAUAUCAACUUGGUGAACGGAUGGAUACGGAAAACUUAUGAUUGAUGCUGGCUUGAUAGGUGCUGUUUGAUCCUCCCCCCUACACAGUCGGUGUCACAACGAACAUUGGAAGUUCAGACGGGAAGUUCACAACUUUUGACUUCGAGUCGCACGCGACCAAGUCAAGACCAAUAAUUCGGGUUAAAAAUAUCAUAAGGGAAAAAUUUAGGGUUGUCUACCUUCUGAACUGAAAGACUAAUACAGUUGUACUUAGCUUAGCACAUUCGAUGAUUCGAUGCUGCACUGUCUUAUUCCUUGUUUCUGUUUUGUGACUGCAGAAUUCAGCAGGGUGAAUUUCCGUUCCGUUUUGAAAACCGAGCAUUCAAAUUUCCGUUUUGCUCAGGUCACCUUGAUAUAUCUAAAUCAUCGUUGGAACUUAGGUUUGCACUGGUAAAAUUAGUAAGCUGUAACUCUAGUAUGCAAAGCUGUUAGGUGCAUGAGGGUGUGCUGUCAAAUUUCUUUUAUAUCUGAAAGGGACCUAUGAGCAAUUGGUGGAAGUACUUGUGUAGGGCUAUAACCCACAGAGCACCAUCUCUACACAUUACUACUACUGCACAGUAGUAAUUUGCACCACUAAAUGCCAAACCCCACACAUAACUCAAGUAAAAGCCAAUGCCUGUGCUUCCUCUCUCUGCCUCUCCUCCACCCCUCCAUCACUGUUUCUACUUGCUGAUGUUGGAGAAGAUGAUUAGGGUUGUUGGUGU